rnacentral:lncRNA from 1 species
CUUGAGCAGAGCUGGGCUCGAGUACGUUACGCAUUCGGUUGCUUAGUAACGAGACUCAGGUAGUUCAUAGCUGCUGUAGCUAAUGCUACGAUGUUUACUGUAAAUCAUGCUGCAUUUUGGAGUUUAUAGCGCCUCAGAAUCACGUUAUAAUCCCACUUAAACUCGGACAAACUCAUUAAACUUAAAUGGGAAUCAUUUCGGUCGGGGUGCUGAAGGUAACGAGGGCGUGGCUUGUGGUGUAGAGGGGCGGGGCUGGAGGUGACCUGCUACAGACUGCAGAGAAAGAGCAGCUGGAUUUGUGCCCAAAACAGGUUCAAACUGUGCAUAACGGACAGUUAAACCUCCUCACUUUAAAGCAUAUUUAAUGAGAUGUCAGCCACACUCCUCUGAACAUCAUCAAAAUGUACUUUUCACACCUUUCAACUGGACUGUUUACACUGGAAAGAACUACUUUCCCACGGGCCAGGGUUUCUCUUAUCAGACUCAUUCACUGGUUGACUGAAGAAACUCCUCCCUCUAGAUUCAUCUAUGUGCAUGGUUUCCUAGGCGAACAACGCUGCAGUACCUGCAAAAACAAACACGAUGGAAUCCAGAGUGCUUUCUGCCCGAGGGUCAGCGAGACAGAGUGUGUGGAGCUGCAGGAGUCUGGAGAGGGGAAUGUGUGGAGUGUGGUCAGUCCAGUGGUCAGACAGUCAGAGAGAGAGAGAGAGGGAGAGAAAUGUGUGCGGAGAGCCGAAGCGGCUGCUGGAUCUCUAAUUUAAGCCAGAGUGUGUCAGCUGUCUUGCUGGUAACAAGCACCUGAGCACCCUGCGCUUCAGCGCGCCGUGCUGGG